rnacentral:rRNA from 1 species
UAAUACGGAGGGUGCAAGCGUUACUCGGAAUCACUGGGCGUAAAGCGCGCGCAGGCGGCCUAUUAAGUUGGAUGUGAAAGCCUACGGCUCAACCGUAGAACUGCAUCCAAAACUAUUAGGCUAGAGUCUGGGAGGGGAAGAUGGAAUUAGUUGUGUAGGGGUAAAAUCCGUAGAGAUAACUAGGAAUACCAAAAGCGAAGGCGAUCUUCUGGAACAGUACUGACGCUGAGGCGCGAAAGCGUGGGGAGCAAACAGGAUUAGAUACCCUGGUAGUCCACGCCCUAAACGAUGAAUGUUAGUCGUCGGGUAGCUAGUCUAUUCGGUGAUGCAGCUAACGCAUUAAACAUUCCGCCUGGGGAGUACGGUCGCAAGAUUA